UACACUCCUACGGGAGGCAGCAGUGGGGAAUUUUGGACAAUGGGCGAAAGCCUGAUCCAGCAAUGCCGCGUGAGUGAAGAAGGCCUUCGGGUUGUAAAGCUCUUUUGUCAGGGAAGAAACGGUGAAAGCUAAUAUCUUUUGCUAAUGACGGUACCUGAAGAAUAAGCACCGGCUAACUACGUGCCAGCAGCCGCGGUAAUACGUAGGGUGCAAGCGUUAAUCGGAAUUACUGGGCGUAAAGCGUGCGCAGGCGGUUUUGUAAGUCUGAUGUGAAAUCCCCGGGCUCAACCUGGGAAUUGCAUUGGAGACUGCAAGGCUAGAAUCUGGCAGAGGGGGGUAGAAUUCCACGUGUAGCAGUGAAAUGCGUAGAUAUGUGGAGGAACACCGAUGGCGAAGGCAGCCCCCUGGGUCAAGAUUGACGCUCAUGCACGAAAGCGUGGGGAGCAAACAGGAUUAGAUACCCCGGUAGUCCCAUGA
rnacentral:rRNA from 1 species